rnacentral:rRNA from 1 species
UACGUAGGGUGCGAGCGUUAAUCGGAAUUACUGGGCGUAAAGCGUGCGCAGGCGGCUUUGCAAGACAGAUGUGAAAUCCCCGGGCUUAACCUGGGAACUGCAUUUGUGACUGCAUGGCUGGAGUGCGGCAGAGGGGGAUGGAAUUCCGCGUGUAGCAGUGAAAUGCGUAGAUAUGUGGAGGAACACCGAUGGCGAAGGCAGCCCCCUGGGUCAAGAUUGACGCUCAUGCACGAAAGCGUGGGGAGCAAACAGG